UACAGAUGUAAACAAUGAUACUAAGAA
rnacentral:piRNA from 1 species